AUUGGAUUCCUGUGAGUGUGGCAUUGAUGAUCCGGUCUAAUACCUGGGACUGGCAUUUGAAGGAAGACUGCUUUAAGUAAGUCAGGGCAUUGUGUUUUAAGAUGACUGCAGAAGCCACCUGAACUGCAAGCUGUCCAUGUUCUACAGAGGAUUACAAAAUGAACCCUGAACAAAAUUGCUAUGAAACCAAAAUGCAUUAAGGAAUGUAAUUCUCCUCUGAACCAAUUCAAUCAAAUUGAGGAUCUGCAUGGAACCAACUAAUUCAAAAUGUAAGACAUUUCAGCAGGGAUAAUUUCAUCUUCCAAUACCACUCGCCAUCUAGCUGUUAUGAAAUACAUGCAAAUAACCUUUGGCUUUCAUCCUUUUCUUUAAAGAGAAGGUCACUUUCAAUCAGCAUUGAAACAAUCAAUGGAACAGAGUUAUAACCUGUCCUCUCCAAUGCCUCUAUUCAUGUUUGGACUCGUCAAAAGGUGACCACUCUAAUCAAGUAAAGAUUAUUGACCAGGUUUUUCAGACCAGAUCCACUGAUCACUUGCUAGGGCUCUGCUGCAACCAUCCCAAGAAUGUAAUCAAAUUACCAAUUUUUGAACAGAAGCAUAUAAAACCAGUUCCACAAUCUCACCAAUUUUAGCUGCAGUAGUUAAUUUGGCUAUUGGUGUCUUUUCCAUUUUCUGAUAGUUUGUUCAUGACUAGCACAAUUUUAUGAAAUUGGGAAUUGAGAAUUAAGUCAAAGAAACUUGUGAAGUAUCAAACUGGAAAUAGUUUUGCUUUUGGCUCUGAAGUGCCUAUUCGUAUUGCUCUUCAACUAUUUUCAGCAGGCCACGCUGAUGGCUCUCUUUUUAUUUCUGGGAAGUCACUCAACCCACUGAGCAUUUGCCUACAACUGUGUGAUUGAGAACAAAAAUUUAACAGGGUUAGGAGAAAUCCAAUCACUGUCUCUUCUGUAUUUCACAUUGUCUAUAUUAGAUAAUAUUUAAACAAAGUGCUUGGCUGGUGAAAACAGGACUUAAAACUGAUUCUUGGACAUGAAGCUUACAAGGUGCAAAAUCAAUGCAGCAACUUUACUGGAGCCAUGUAAGUCACAUGGUUUGAUCUAAACAAUAUCAUAAAUAUAUGUCCCGGGGACAUCCCUGCUAGAUGACCUGACUUAGCAUCACUUUGAUCCUGCAAGUCUAUUCUGGACACACAUCGAUAUGUUAUAUCUACAAUUGAAAAUAAUACAUUCAUCAAAGUGAGGGACCCGUUGCUCCCAAGCUGAUCAUUAAAUCAAAGAGUCUCUCUCCUUCUGUGACGGGGGGGAAUGGGUGCUGUUUGGAAUCAUUUGGUUGUGACCUCCUCCAUUUCUUAAUUACAUAACAUGAUGAUGACUAUCCUAUGGCAUUGUUGUGAUGUCCUAACUUCUAGUCCUUCUUCACAGUAUUAGUCCUGUUGCAGGUGGUACUAUGUUUGUAACACAAUUACAGUGGUAUAUAAACUUCU